ACUCCUACGGGAGGCAGCAGUGGGGAAUAUUGCACAAUGGGCGCAAGCCUGAUGCAGCCAUGCCGCGUGUGUGAAGAAGGCCUUCGGGUUGUAAAGCACUUUCAGCGGGGAGGAAGGCGAUACGGUUAAUAACCGUGUUGAUUGACGUUACCCGCAGAAGAAGCACCGGCUAACUCCGUGCCAGCAGCCGCGGUAAUACGGAGGGUGCAAGCGUUAAUCGGAAUUACUGGGCGUAAAGCGCACGCAGGCGGUCUGUCAAGUCGGAUGUGAAAUCCCCGGGCUCAACCUGGGAACUGCAUUCGAAACUGGCAGGCUUGAGUCUUGUAGAGGGGGGUAGAAUUCCAGGUGUAGCGGUGAAAUGCGUAGAGAUCUGGAGGAAUACCGGUGGCGAAGGCGGCCCCCUGGACAAAGACUGACGCUCAGGUGCGAAAGCGUGGGGAGCAAACAGGAUUAGAAACCCCUGUAGUCCCAUGAU
rnacentral:rRNA from 1 species